CUUUUGUUUAUAGCAACAUAAACUAGAAGAAAAGUAAAAGUACCACUCAUAUGAUUUAUACUGACGUUGAGGUCAUUGAAUUUGGCUGAAAGUUGGACGGUCACUAGAACUUUGAGCAAAAAUCUGGUCAGAUGGCGUUUAAGAAAAAAACACUUAGCAAAAAAAUGAUGAAAGUUUAAACUUUAAACCAGCCAUUAUUCCUGCACGGUGGGAGCGGAUAUAAGUCUCAGGAAUCCCGCUUACGUCAUUUACGCGGGAAUUUUUUCGCGCGAAUAUUCUUUCACUCAGUGCAGGGCAAGCAUGCAGUAUCUUCUGUUAAUGUGUGAAUUUGGAUUGCUUUAUUUAUUUGGGCUGAAAAUGCGCCUGUGGAAUACACUUAACUCAAAGGCAUGUGGAUAUUUCUAUUUUGAUCCUUUGUGUUUCAUUUGUUUGAAAUGCAGAAGAAACAAAACGGACUAUACAGUAAUGGAAAGUUCUUUAGCUUCUACUUGAAGUUCCCAGGUCCACUUGGACUCGGCGCACACUAGAUGCAGUCCUCCGCUUGCUCAGGUGCUUUCACUGUGGUGAGCCAGUGGAAGAGGAGGUUAAACUGUCUGUGCAGGAAACAACACCAGCCUUGGAAGCGUUCAUAAACCAGAGUUCUGUAAGACCCUGGUUUUGAAGAUAUGGCCGGGUGUAGAUAACCUGUGACACAUUUUCAAAACAAUAACAGUUGUGCGUUGCUUGGUUUGCCAUGCAGAGGAUAUACCAUGUGUGCCUUUGAAUUUUGCAAACUGGAGUCACCAGACAUUACCAACAAAACUGGAAACAUUGGUCCCAAAGUGAAUCAUCAGAACUGGAAAGAAAAUCCCUCUUAUUUUCUUCAGUCACUGAAAUGCUAAAACCAAUUCAAACCACUUUAUUCAGUUGUGUUUUAACUUCUUGAUCUGUCCAAAGUUUUAUUGUAUACUGUCAUGUCUUGUGAAAUGUGCAAAACCUAUUGCAUAUAAAUGUAAACAGUUAUUCUUUUCUGUACAUAUGUAGAUGUGUAUGAGAUGACUGACUGUCUAUUUGCACUUUUAUCUAUUUAACUUAUUUUAACUGUAGCGCCAAUUCCCUGUUAUUUAUAACUUACUUAAUGCCUGGUUUUGAAAGUUUUAAGCUGUGCCCCAAAUUAUGAACUAUACACUAUGCACUUACACAAUGUACACUACUAGUGUACGGUCUAGUGCACAGGUCUCCAACAUUUUUAGGUACUACCAAUAAUGAUAUACCCUAUUAUGUAACAGGAAGAGAGAUGAAAAAACACUGAUAUUAUAUUAAUGCAAAACAGAACCUUAGCGCAUUAGUUUCAUUUCACCCUCUGUUAACACUGGGUAAAAACACUACCCUAUGUUAAUUUUUAUAUACUCCUUGGCCUCUUCUUUUUCCACACCCUUCUAAACAUACAUCCCCCUCCCCAUGUUUUUCAUUUUAAUAAAAAAAUGUCAAAUAUAUCAAAUGUUGUUAAACUUGUUAAUCAAACAACUUUGAUAUGUUACAGGAGCAUGUGUUUUUCUUUUUCAGGAGCUUGCUCUCUCUCUCUCUCUUCUUCUUCUUCUUCUUCUUCUUAUUUUUAUUUUCCCUGAAGAAUAGCAAACAGCACAGUUCCAAACAGAAUAAAAUAAUAACAAAAGAAAAUAAGCAAGCAUAUAAGAAAAUAAAAGAAAAGGGGCGUUAAUCAAAUUAAUCUUACACAAUUUACGUAAACAUUAACAUAAAGAGUUUGUAGGCUGUGCUAUAUACAUGUUCUAAAUGCUUUAUUGUUAAGACAAAGUGACACUGUAAUCAAAUACUCUUAAUCUCUUCCAAGAAUUAAAAAACGUUUCAUUUUUGAAACCUUACUUACAAGAAACAUAAAACUAAUAAACUCUUUCCAUAGCUGAAAAGUAUAAUAAUAUGACCAAAAUUAAUGGAUGAGUUCCAAUUUGUAUACAGUCAUACACACCUUUCUAGUCACCCUGUUUUGUAGAUUGGACCCUACUAAAAUACUGAAUGCAUUCCAGUAGUUCAGAGGAAACCAUGUUACCCAGAGAAUGGUGAGGAAGUAAAGUUCUCAAGCAAUAACGCUC